rnacentral:sRNA from 1 species
CCACUGGUCCCCAGCUCCUGGGCUCUGUUCCAGUGCAUUUCUGGUUGUGCUGGCCUUUGCUCCCUAAGCUUGAGUUUGGUAGGCGGGUUUAGGUGUCAGAGAUCCCCAGAAUUAAAAGCAAACAAUUGUGUCUUUGAUGUUCUUCUGCGCUCUGAGCCCGCAAAGUGCCGACACAAAGUCUAAAGAAGAACAGGAUCUUCCAGAAUUCUCCAAGGACCAGGGGGUAUCUAUGGACUUCUGGCAAAUAGGUGACCCCUGUGAAAAGGGUGUUUCGACCCCCAAAACAGUCCCAAAGGAUCCAUGCACAGGUUGAGAACCACUGCUUUGGUGAAAGGUAUCUGUACAGGAUCAAGGCUUUCAUUUUACAUGUUGCUAGGAAGAAGCAAUGAUGUUCUUAGACUCGUUCCAAAAUCAUAUCCUCUCCUCAACUUUGUGGCAACCUGGGCUCCAGACCAUUUCCUUCGCUGGGCAUCUUCUCUUGUGGUACUUUCUGCUUAUUUUAAGGCAUACAGGGCACUUUGUUCUGUUGCCUAGAUCAUGAUAAUUGUGGAGUCAAAUGUUUCCCUCCUCAUUAGUAUUUUUUGUUACUUUACCCUCUUUUAUUGUUCAACAUGUACUUAAUGCUUCGUUUUGUUUUCAGUGUAUUGCUGCCGUGUUGGGUUUUUCUAGAUGUGGUCUUCAAGAAGGUCCAUCAUUCUUCUGACAACAAGACUGGCAGGACACAAACUGUGGCACCUGCUUACUUGGCAGACAAAAGAGGAACAGAUCAGAGGAGGAGGGCGUGGAUUCCUGGAACUGCUGAAGAGAGCUUAUAGUACAAACCACCUGGUUACCUUUGAAUGGCCUCGUUGGGCAUCAACAGGAAGAGAAACCCUUGGUCCUGCCAAGACUUGAUGCCCCAGUGUAGAGGAAUGUCAGGGCAAGGAG